UCCCCUUCCCAGCCGCUCGCCCCGCCGCAUCGCCGCCGCCUCCUCCUGCGGUCGCUCGUCCCUCCUCCUCCACCCAACCCCUAACCCUAGCAGCUCCCGCCGUCGCCGCCGUCUACUUCGCCCAGCCUGCCGGACCGCCUCCGUCCACUUCCCCGGUGUCGUCGCGGUCGUCCUCGCCUGCACACGGCAAGAGGAGCGCCCCCACCCUCUCCUCUCCUCCUCCCCUCAUCACGAGCCAGGACAGGGUGGGCCACCAUGGCCGGGCAGGUCAGGCGGCGCGUCCAGAUCACCGAGGAGCCGCCCGCAAGGUCGGCCAUGGCGCAACCGAGCAGAGCAGGUGAGGAGGGAGACGCUGGUUCCUCUUUCCCGCUGCUUGCUUCGUCGCCGGCGCGGCUCCGAUGGACUCUGGCGGCUCCUCUCUGUCUCCUUCCUCGCCCCCACACACGGCUCCACUUCCCGCUGGCCAUGGGGCUGGCCAGCAGCAGCGCCUCCCUCCCUGCCGCUGCCAGUCCCGGCGCCGCCGACGGGUCCAUAGGCAGAGGCGUCGUUCUUGGUGGUUGAGCCGCUGAUGCAGAAGAUUCAUGGAGAGAUUUGUUGGGUGGACGCCGACAUCCUUGCCGCCGUCCGGUUGCAGGGUAGUGCUUACAAAAAGAGGCAAGCUGAAGAGGAAGGUUGGAAGAAGGAGAGCAACUGUGCAUUGUUAUGAUUGCCUCUUCCUCCUGUUGCUAAGUGUCACAGGCAAAAGGACCAAGUGCGGGCGGGUGAGCAUCAGGAGUCCAGUUGAUUGGCUUCGGCCUUUGAGUUGCUGCUGGCUAGCGGUGCCGCUUCUGAGCGUCUCCUCACCCCUCACUCAUGUGGCCCCUUCAACUGGUGGCACUUUUGCUUGUGUCUUGUUAUCUUUUCGAAAUGGUGAAGCUGACAAUGAUAGCCUGUAUCACUGAUGGCCUUUCAUUUGCGGAGUGCUUAGAUGGUGGUUAUGUUAAGGAUGUUGUCUUCUACAAGCAGCAAGCAAAAUUGUUGUUCAAAAACAUAUAUAAAGGCCAACAUGAAACAUCAAGACUGUCAACUGAGACUGGACCGUACCGUUCCAGGUUAAGGUUGCAGGAAUAGCUUUAUAUUAGGAGCAGCUUCUCCACCACCACUCAGCGGUAGAGGAGGUAUGCUUCUUCCCCAACACAACAUAGCGUCAGCCACGGUAUCCUCGGCCCUCUCCCUCUAUCUACCCUCUUCUGUUCCUUACCGAAAAAUCAUUUUUUUACCUUGUAUAAUACUUGUGAUUUGGACCGAUUUGUGUUUUGGGGGGCAUCAAUUUGGUGCUUCCCCCGUCCAUGUGCUGCAGAGAAAAGGAGAAGAAGGGGAUGGAUGAGCAAGGAGCAGAAGGACCUGAAGAAGAAGGGCAAGGGAAGUGGGGCGAUAUGCAUGUCCAGGGAGGGUAUAGAAAACCAAUUAGUGUUGGCUGCCUUGAAGGGAGCCACAAGGAAGAGAGAGAUCAGUGUACAUGACAUGAAGAUGAUAAGGCGCCACUUCCACGAUGACAUCAACAUCGCCGUGGUCUGUCUUCAAUGGCACCUGGGGCGACAUCAGAUCAUGACAUGCAUCCUUUAGCUAGAUUCAUCUUUGUUUGAUGUAGUUCUUUGUGAUCUGAAAGCAACUGACUACUCAAUACCAAUCAGUGCAUGGAGGGAACUCCUGUCCACCACGCCGGCGACAGGAACAUGGAAAACGCAGUCCACGGUGCCACCAAUGAACAAGAGCUGAUCAGCCCAAAGUCUAUGGUUAAUGCCAUUCUUGGUAACAUUGGUCUGCCUGAUGCAAAACAAACAAGGACUACAAGAACUACAAUGGACGUGCCGAGACAAGCAUUGUAAGGAUCCCAGUUAGAAUGAUGCUUGAUCUCCUGGUAGAGCAUCUUGGGCUUCACAAGGCCAUCUGAGACUCGGGCUCAAUGAGAACACAAUGAGAGUCAUCAUUCUCUCUGACACUGCUGUUCAAGACGACCGGACCUGUCCACCGCGCAUGCCCAUUACUGGUGUAUGAACAUUGCAUCCUUUAAUUUACCCUGUAUAUGAACAUUCCAUUCUUCAAAUAUGUUGUACUAUCAUUCUGGUGGCUAUGGAGAUGUGUUGUACUGUAGUUUUGGUAUCCAUUGAUGAUGUCUUGCUCCGAUUACACUUGAAUCUGUA